rnacentral:rRNA from 1 species
GACGAACGCUGGCGGCGCGCUUAACACAUGCAAGUCGAACGGAAAGGCCCUGCUUUUGUGGGGUGCUCGAGUGGCGAACGGGUGAGUAACACGUGAGUAACCUGCCCUUGACUUUGGGAUAACUUCAGGAAACUGGGGCUAAUACCGGAUAGGAGCUCCUGCUGCAUGGUGGGGGUUGGAAAGUUUCGGCGGUUGGGGAUGGACUCGCGGCUUAUCAGCUUGUUGGUGGGGUAGUGGCUUACCAAGGCUUUGACGGGUAGCCGGCCUGAGAGGGUGACCGGCCACAUUGGGACUGAGAUACGGCCCAGACUCCUACGGGAGGCAGCAGUGGGGAAUAUUGCACAAUGGGCGGAAGCCUGAUGCAGCAACGCCGCGUGCGGGAUGACGGCCUUCGGGUGGUAAACCGCUUUCGCCUGUGACGAAGCGUGAGUGACGGUAAUGGGUAAAGAAGCACCGGCUAACUACGU